rnacentral:rRNA from 1 species
AUACGGAGGGUCCGAGCGUUAUCCGGAAUCAUUGGGGUUAAAGGGUCCGUAGGCGGGAAUCUAAGUCAGUGGUGAAAUCUUGCAGCUCAACUGUAAAAUUGCCAUUGAUACUGGAUUUCUCGAAUUAGUGUGAAGUGGUUAGAAUGUGUAGUGUAGCGGUGAAAUGCAUAGAUAUUACACAGAAUACCAAUUGCGAAGGCAGAUCACUAACACUAUAUUGACGCUAAGGGACGAAAGCGUGGGGAGCGAACAGGAUUAGAAACCCUAGUAGUCC